GUGGCGCAGGUGGACCUCAAACUUGAUGGAUCCUUUGCUGAUAUGAUUCUUAUUCCAUACUUGGUUCCAAAUAAAAUACGAACUUCUGCACCUUUUAUAUUGACAAAUCCUGGGCAGUUAAAUUUCUGUGAUGGUGGUGCUUUAUUUUCUGCACGGAAAUCAGAAGAGGAAUAUGCUCAGUCCGAGGCACAUAAAUUUUCAGUCGUAGUUCCUACAAUUGAUCCCAGCAUAACAGUUACGAAUAUGUAUUCACUAACUGGGAGAGAGCAUCCAAGUAUUUCACUGAAUAAAUUUUGUGCUAGGCAAAUUGUCGCACCUCCGAUAUCAGGGAAUAUGAAAUGGCCUUUGACUUGUGGGGUUCCUAGUGAAAUGUCACUGAAGGAAGAUCAUGUAGUUGAAAGAAUAUAUGUUGCAGGCUAUCAAGAUGGUUCUGUUAGAAUAUGGGAUGCAACUUUUCCUAUUCUGAUGCCAAUGUUUGUCUUGGAUGCAAAGGUCACUUAUACUGUGUUCUUAGUUGUUGACUGA
rnacentral:rRNA from 1 species